rnacentral:snRNA from 1 species
UAGUCCGACUUUGUGAAA